CUCGUGCUGCAGCGUACGGCUCCGGCACACGGGCUGGGGUACGGCAGGGCUUCAGCAGUCCCUUCAGCUGCCACCUCUGCCGGGGCAAAGGGGACUAUCUGGGGUGACCUGGUUUCAGUGAAGUUAUUUAAGUUAUUAAAAGAAGUCAUGAUUUAAAUUAAGUCAGAAACAUUAGUUCUAAACAACCGUUUUAAAGCCGUUUUCUGUCUGUACCUUUUAGUUACUUCCUUAAGACGUGUUGAUUUUGUGUUUGAUUUAUUUUUCUUGCUCUUUUUGCUCUCUGACAGAAGAUACGGAUAAACUUCUAUUUAAGUUGUUCUGUAGCUUGAAAAAACCAUUACUAUCCAAAGCAAAGCUCAUUUACUUACUUAUUCAACAAACUYGGGUUCCUGGUGCUUGGAUAGCAGCUUCGCCCAGGUCACUUGCCUGAUCUUUUCGCGAUUUCAGCAGUGGGCAGGUACUGACUGAAAACUGUGUAAAUAAUKUACAUUAAAUUAAAAAUGGCUUACAUUAAAUUAGGUCUCAACAUAAGCUGUUAUUAUUUCAGGUUUAUUUUUUWAUUUAUUUAUUUUUAAACAGAAACAUCUACACAUGUUAAUCUGAUUUUUUUUCUCAGAUCUGUAUUUUAUCUAUCAUAGCAGCAUUUAAAUUCCAGGAAAUAAAUUGAUCCUGGGAUUUGAACUGGACUCACAACAAACUGUGAAAGGUUCUCCAUAGACGUACGACCAAGAGGAGAAACACGAGCUGUAAAACGCAGGCGCAGAUCUCCACUUUGGAAAGCCCACACCGGAGUCUCAGAUGCAGCGUCUUGGAGGAGAGGAGAGCAAGGAUAGCUGCAAAACGCCCACCCGGCCUGAGUGGGAUGUGUUCACCUGCAAAGAGAGGACGAACUCUAAACCCUGCUUCGGUACUUCC
rnacentral:lncRNA from 1 species